rnacentral:lncRNA from 1 species
GUCGCCGCCACCAGCAACACGUGUCUUAGUCUCCCGUUACCUGGUGUGUUGACGUCCGUGGCGCCAGGUGUGUUACAGUUACCUGGUGUGUUGACGUCCGUGGCGCCAGGUGUGUUACAGUUACCUGGUGUGUUGACGUCCGUGGCGCCAGGUGUGUUACAGUUACCUGGUGUGUUGACGUCCGUGGCGCCAGGUGUGUUACAGUUACCUGGUGUGUUGACGUCCGUGGCGCCAGGUGUGUUACAGUUACCUGGUGUGUUGACGUCCGUGGCGCCAGGUGUGUUACAGUUACCUGGUGUGUUGACGUCCGUGGCGCCAGGUGUGUUACAGUUACCUGGUGUGUUGACGUCCGUGGCGCCAGGUGUGUUACAGUUACCUGGUGUGUUGACGUCCGUGGCGCCAGGUGUGUUACAGUUACCUGGUGUGUUGACGUCCGUGGCGCCAGGUGUGUUACAG